rnacentral:rRNA from 1 species
GAUGAACGCUGGCGGCGUGCCUAAUACAUGCAAGUCGAGCGAACAGACGAGGAGCUUGCUCCUCUGACGUUAGCGGCGGACGGGUGAGUAACACGUGUAUAACCUACCUAUAAGACUGGGAUAACUUCGGGAAACCGGAGCUAAUACCGUAUAAUAUAUUGAACCGCAUGGUUCAAUAGUGAAAUACGGUUUUGCUGUCACUUAUAGAUGGAUCCGCGCCGCAUUAGCUAGUUGGUAAGGUAACGGCUUACCAAGGCAACGAUGCGUAGCCGACCUGAGAGGGUGAUCGGCCACACUGGAACUGAGACACGGUCCAGACUCCUACGGGAGGCAGCAGUAGGGAAUCUUCCGCAAUGGGCGAAAGCCUGACGGAGCAACGCCGCGUGAGUGAUGAAGGUCUUCGGAUCGUAAAACUCUGUUAUUAGGGAAGAACAAAUGUGUAAGUAACUAUGCACGUCUUGACGGUACCUAAUCAGAAAGCCACGGCUAACUACGUG